rnacentral:misc_RNA from 1 species
AACGCACAUUGCGCCCUUUGGUAUUCCGAAGGGCAUGCCUGUUCGAGCGUCAUUAUAACCACUCAAGCCUGGCUUGGUAUUGGAGUUCGCUAUCGGCGGCUCCUAAAAUCAGUGGCGGUGCCUGUAGGCUCUACGCGUAGUAAUACUUCUCGCUAUAGGGUCCUGCGGGUGACUUGCCAACAACCCCUAAUUUUUUCAGGUUGACCUCGGAUCAGGUAGGGAUACCCGCUGAACUUAA